ensembl:lncRNA
GCCCCAGUAGACUGCUAGCUGAGGAGGCUCAAUAUAAAAAGCCCAUAUGUACACUUUGUACAAGUUACAGGGUGUUGAGUGGUUAGACUUUGUCUAGUUGUGUGCUUUGUCUGACAACCAUGCUUUCUAGGACUUCUUUGUGGAGGGUAGGCCUGUAUUUCCUGCUGGCUGUUCCUCUGAGCUCCUCAACAAGAUACUAUGGUUCUGAUGAGGCAAGCUAUAAUGGCCCUUCCCAGAGCCAGUGGGGAAAGCGAUCAGACGACUCACUGACCCCAGCUCGGGCACGUCAGCAUCAAGGCCAUUCGUCAAGAGGAUACGCCACAGUAGCCGUCAGACCUAGCAGCAGCACGGCUAAGAGCCAAUACUCCAAAUCUGGCACUGAAAGCAGGAAGCCUAGUCUCUACCCUCUUCCCCAAGGCGGGCAGAAAGAUCUACCCACGAGUGGAAGUUCGUACAGAGAAAAUGUCCCCUACAAAAGCCCUCCCACCUCCUGGAAGGUCAGACCUGAUUCCUCCAAGAGUUAUGGCCCUUCUGUGAAGGCACCUAAAAGGGGGUCGACCAGUGCCAUGAGCGACCGGUCUAUGAGCAGCACACACUACAGGCCUGCUACGCCACCAGCAAAGGCUUCCAUCGGCUCCGGUCAGUACAGACCACAUGGAGAUAAACCUACCUUUGGCAAAUCUAAGGAAACCAAACAGGUGCGUGUUAGGCCCCACCACUCGUUUUCGUCCGCUGAACUUUCCUCUGGCAGUUUGGGGUUCCCUCAGCCCCAGUUGGCCAAAACUGAAGUCUCCUCUCCUUAUGGCCAGAGGGGCUCGGCAACAUCCAAGAGUUCCCAUUCUCAAAGGUCAUUCAAGGCUGUCCCUCAAAGCCAAACGGAAUAUAGGAGUGGAAACAUUGGCUACCCUAGCGGCUACACGAUGAAGAAUAAUGGCCGGAAUACUGGUUACUCCAGCAGUGUUUUGCCUCAGCAGCAGGAUGAUGAUGAUGAUGAUGAUGAUGAUUCCUCCCUCACCACCAUCCCCAGCGUUCUUGGCAAGGGCGUCAUCAUGACGAUAUCGGCAAACGGACGGCAGAUAAAGACUGGACAGGGCGUGCCUAAGUUUAGGCCAGGUCCCCCACCUCAGACCGCUAAUCCAUCCUAUGGGUCAACGGGUGGUUAUAAAAGGUGGAGAGUGUAACUGUGGCAUCAGGAUUCUAGUCUGAUGGGGACCUAUCUAUGGCAGAAACCUCUACUUUACCUGCUGUGAAAAAGGUGUCCAGGACCUGAUGACUUUGGUUUUGCUAUAAAUGUUCAUGAAGUGUCAAAUGUCUUGAGAAAUAAAAUCAUGAUGACCGUUACUCUUGUCUGCGUUUAGUGUUUAAAAAAAAAAAAAAAUUGUGUCUUUUUAAAUAUACGUCAAACAUUCACUUUCUUGCAAUUGAAUGACCUGCCAGGAGGUGUGUAAUUUGUUUAGCACAUGACUCCAGUGCCACCUACUGUCUUGCUGAAUUAUGGUGAAAUGUAUACUUCAGUGGAUCUUUUCACAGCACAACCUUGUGUUUAUUGUAUUAAUUUUUUUUUCUCGACCAUUUCAAUUAUAAACCGCAUGUCGUAGCCUAAAACAGACUACAUUUUGUGGUUGAACCAGAAGUCUUUUCCAUUGGCGCGUGCUCCAGCUGUUUCCAGAA